GACGAACGCUGGCGGCGUGCUUAACACAUGCAAGUCGAACGGAAAGGCCCCUUUGGGGGUACUCGGGUGGCGAACGGGUGAGUAACACGUGAGUAACCUGCACUUGACUUCGGGAUAAGUACAGGAAACUGGGGCUAAUACCGGAUAGGAAUGCUUGCUGCAUGGUGAGGGUUGGAAAGCGUCGGCGGGUUUGGAUGGACUCGCGGCAUAUCAGCUUGCUGGUGUGGCAGUGGCUUACCAAGGCGUUGACGGGUAGCCGGACUGCGAGGGCGACCGGCCACACUGGGACUGAGAUACGGCACCGACUCCUACGCGAGGCAGCAGUGGGGAAUAUUGCCCAAUGGGCGGAAGCCUGAUGCUGAAACGCCGCGUGCGGGAUGACGGCCUUAGGGUUGUAAACCGCUUUCAGCAGGGGCGAAGCUUGUGGUGACGGUACCUGAAGAGGAAGCACCGGCUAACUACGUG
rnacentral:rRNA from 1 species